UGAGGAAUAUUGGUCAAUGGUCGGGAGACUGAACCAGCCAAGCCGCGUGAGGGAUGAAGGUACAGAGUAUCGUAAACCUCUUUUGUCAGGGAACAAAAGGCGCCACGCGUGGCGCUCCGAGUGUACCUGAAGAAAAAGCAUCGGCUAACUCCGUGCCAGCAGCCGCGGUAAUACGGAGGAUGCGAGCGUUGUCCGGAUUUAUUGGGUUUAAAGGGUGCGUAGGCGGCGAGUUAAGUCAGCGGUAAAAGCCCGGGGCUCAACCCCGGCCCGCCGUUGAAACUGGCUUGCUUGAGUUGGAGAGAAGUAGGCGGAAUGCGCGGUGUAGCGGUGAAAUGCUUAGAUAUCGCGCAGAACUCCGAUUGCGAAGGCAGCCUACCGGCUCCAGACUGACGCUGAGGCACGAAAGCGUGGGUAUCGAACAGGAUUAGAUACCC
rnacentral:rRNA from 1 species